UACCGGAAGUACCGUUACUCGGAUCGCUUAGAAAAGUUAUUGCACACGUCUCCUGAAUGAGCCGGUCAAUUUGACACCUCAUUCAUGGGUCUAGGACAAAUGCUGCAGGACAAGUUACGCGCCGAAGAAGAGUUUUUUCCGGAAGAGUAUGCACAAUAGUAAGAAUGUUGCUUGGCAAGCACCAUUAAUAAAACAGUAGAUGGAACUGCGAAUGCGUGCAAGCAUUGUGCAAAAUGCAUUCAAUAUGCUAAUGGAAACACUUCUAAUAUGACGGUUGUGUUAAGAUGGUUAAACUUAUGCUUGACUUUAUGAUUAUGGCCUUUGCUGUUGUUAUAGCCUCAUUAUAUUAUGUUAUUACAUUAUAUUAUAUAUUCAUUCAUUCAUUCAUUCAUUCAUUCAUUCAUUCAUUCCUUUUCUAGAAGUUAAAUACACAUCAGACUACGUUAAAGUUCAGAAUUAGUGAAGUGUAUUUGGACACGUUCCAAACUGUCCAUAUAUUUGUCAUAUUUCUUAUAUAUAAUGGUUAUGAUGUAACUUUGAGUUGUAUUUAUUGUUAUAAUGUAACUUUGAGUUAUAUUUUUGUUUAUGAUGUAAUGUUGCUGUUGAUUUGACAGGUACAGAUGUGGGGAUCUGCGUUGUAUAUCAGGACUCUCAGUCAGAUACUGCCAUUGGUGCUUACGAAAAAAAUCCAUAGAAACGUCCAUAGAAUUCAAAGAUGUACCUGUGGUAUAUUAAAGCCAACCAAAGCACACCAACAGAGACACCGACGACAGAAACUGAAGAUAAGGAUCAAUACAGUGGCAAGAAGCAGUGUCUUAAAUCAUAUUACACACAAGAUUAUGGUGAUCUAUCUAUCUAUCAGUUUUCUUUACCAUUUAUCUGAAACGGGGUUUUCGGGGAGCCUGGAGCAUAUUAACAGGGGACACGUGCACAAGGCGGUGGACACCCUGUAUAUGGUGCCAACCAAUUGUAAUGCACAUCAUAAACACACCACAGAGGCAGGAAUCUAAAACCCAGUCCUAACCCUUGGUGAUGCUGCUGCUGCUGAUUAUUAUUAUUAUUAUUAUUAUUAUUAUUAUUAUUAUUAUUAUUAUUCCCAAAAUGCACCAAUCAGGUCACAUUUCCAAAUCUAUUACAUACUAAUAUUUAACCAUUAUUUUACAAUAUAAGCAUACUCUUUUUAAUAUUGGAGUACAUUGCGAUCAUUUUGUGUGCCCAAUGACCUGCCCUGCAGCUAAAAAAUCAGCACACCCCAAAAUCUUGUAUUUGUCAUUAUAUUCAUUACCAUAACUAUGCAACAAAUUGUGUCAUGCAAUUUGCAGCGCACAUUCAUUACCUAACGUGUUGUGAAUAAUGAUGGUGAAUUUUCAUAUCUUCCUGGUCAUACCAGAAAUGAAUGAGAGUGUUUAAACAGUCAUAUUGUAUGCUGUAAAGCUGUAUCAGCUUUUGAAUAGUUUGGUCUAUGUUGUUUGCAGUGCUUGUAAUGGAUUAACCUUAAUGACAUUCAAUUUGCAUUUGUUAUUUUUACAUGUUUCUUCUUCUAGUUCUUCUUCAAUCUUUUACACCUAUUAUGUUAUUGCUGAGAAAUGGUUUUACAUGUUAAAAACUGAAACCUGCAUGUCUGCAUUCUGUACACAAGGUUGAUUAAUUCGCUGCCUUAAUAAAAGAACGCUUGACUUCGAUUUAAAAGAAAAAAAAAAGGUUUUUGGGCACCGUCUCAUCUCGCCAUGAGAUGGUAGCAUUGCCACAAGUGCCAUUUCAACAUCUUUAAGUAUAAAAUAAAUGAUUAGAAUGUGUCAGCACACGCUUUCCACACCGCCAAUAUGGACUGCUAGAGCACAGUCACUCUCACUCACUCACUCAUUUUCUACCGCUUAUCCGAACUACCUCGGGUCACGGGGAGCCUGUGCCUAUCUCAGGCGGGCAUCGGGCAUCAAGGCAGGAUACACCCUGGAUGGGGUUAGAGCAUAGUUAAUCUGAUAAUUAUGUGGUAGAACAGGGAAACUAGGUUGGACUCUUGUAUUGAAACCUUACUCCCAAGCCACCUUUCACCUACAUUGCCAUUGUUAUACGUGAAAUAAGAACAUGACUCCUUGCUGAAUAUAUCAGGGUCUUAAACGUUCAGUGGAAUACUUUUCAGUUUUUCUCCUACUCUAGCAACAGUCCAAUAAUACAGCGAAUAUAAAAGCAGCAAAAACCUUUUUAUCAUACUUUUUUUUUAUUACAAAACAAUUCAACUGCUCAAACACUCAACCGCUCAGGAAGCAGCUAGAAAAUAAUGAUCAGUUCUGACAUUUUUCUUAGAUAUACAGUACAUAGCAGCAACACAGGCGUGCAGUUUCGUAAGGUUUUCAGAUAUGCUUGUAGGUUUCCUCUGAGGUCACGAGUUUCCAUUCACCUCCCCAAAACAUGGCAGUAGAACUCAAAAUUGUCCCAAGGAACACAUGCCACAUGCAUAACAUUUAUACAUUGCUGAAAACAACUACGAGUUGAAGAUUUGGCAACUGACAUAGAAACACCUCAGACAGGUUUUACUUGUUCAGGAAGACAGAUGUCAAGAUAUCACACCAGCAUAUUUAUAGAGGUACACUCAGAAUACACAGGCGAGAAAGCUUGUCUUUAUAAACAGCUGAAAACAAAGACAUUAAGUUGCAAGAGAGCCAACAUCCUCAAAACAUGAGCAGUGAGCAGCUAAAAAUCGAUCUGUUAUGUCUGAACCCUGACUAUGUGAACACAUCACCUGCACAUCAAUACAGCUGUGAUGAUUCACUAAAUCUGCCCGUGCACCCAUUUGUUCGGUGCCGAUGGGACUUAAGGAAAAUGGCAAAGCAAAAGUCCAGGGAAGAUUUUAUAAAUUUUGAAGACACACCUAUUCACAAUUAAAGGUUGCCAACAACGACAUCCAUUGAGGACAGACACAUCAGUCCAAUGAUGAGGAUCAACACAGCGAUCAUGAAGCAUUACAGAGUUAUAUAUUGGAUCUCAGUUAUUGUUUCUGUCUGUGUUUGUUACUGUAUUUUAGCCCAAAGUGUGCCAACAAUGACAUCCAUUGAGGACAGAAACAAAAGUCCAGUGAUGAGUAUCAACACAGCGAUCAUGAAGCAUUACACAGUUAUAUAUUGGAUCUCAGUUUUAGUUUCUGUCUGUGUUUGUUACUGUAUUUUAUUUAUUUAUUUACAUUGCGGACAGAAACAGCAGUCCAGUGAUGAGUAUUAGCGAGUAUUAGUGAGAUGAGUAUUAGCACAGUGACAAGAAGCAUAAUCUGAAGAAAAUAUGAAGCUGCUGAUUACAAGUGCGACUGCAGAAAAAGAAAAUUGUUACAUUAACUGAAUGAGUAGGAAGAGAAUUCAUGACCCAGACCACUUUUGACCAAUGAAAUGGGUCAUGAAUUAUGAUGACACAUGUUCAUACAUGAGGUCGUGCCAGAAAUGAAUUCAUUACUGUUAAACAAUCAUAUGCAGUAAAGCUGUAUCAGCUUUUAAAUGAUUAUACUUUUUGUAUCGUCUUUAAUCCAUUGGUGUAUAACUUGUAUUGAGAUUCAUUGUAUUUUACAUGUCUUUUUAAUUUCAUUAAAUGCUAAUUAUUCUA